ensembl:lncRNA
UAGGCAGGCUGGCAAAGCAGGAACUGAGCACCCUGUCCCUCUUUUGAGCCCAGCAUAGAAACCAAGCAGGUUGCUAGAGGAGGGAAAGUCCCUUCCUCCAUGCCCAGCAUAGAAAUGCAGCUCCCCAUCUUUUUGCCACCUCCCAGUAGACUAUUAUGGUAACUUUUUGGGGGGCGGGGGGGGGGACUGGCAACUUUGGAGGGCUUAUUUACAAGGCAGUAUUAGACUACUCCAGUUACUCUUGCCUCUGUGGACCUGUUGGAUGUAGCCAAAGACUACACUCCAGUGGCGCUUUACCAUAUGUUUACAUGUAGGAAAUAGACUCAGGAUGAAUGCAUGGGACUGUUGUACAGCCUUGGAAUCAUAACAAAUGAUCACACGAGGAAUUCCUUUGAUGUACAGAGUGCUGAUGUACCAAAUUGCUUUUUCUCUGCCUUACAGUCUGAUUGACCUCUGGAAUUUAGUGAAACAUGAAUUUCAGGUCUUCGUGGUUGUUGUUUUUUUAUAUUAUUGCUGUAUCUGAAAGGUGCUCCUUUCACUGGGGAGAGUUCCUGAACAUAUAUAUCUUUUGCUGUGCCAAAAAACAUGAAGACAAAACGUCAAAUGUAUAUAUGAGGAUAACAUCAGAGAACUUUUUACAUUUAAUCCUGAGUUGGUCGUACAAGGCCAACAGCCCAUCCCAUAUAUGUUUACUCAGAAGUAAGUCCCUUGACAUUCAGUGGGAUUUGCUCCUUAGAAAGCAAGUAAAUCUCAGGGAUGUGUGUACUUCUGAGUAAUCAUGCACAGGAUCACGUUGUAACAAGUGGGUCCCAAACACAAAGGAAGUGAUUUUGUUCAGUUUCUGUUUUCACGUGUUUUAGAACCUGUGAUUCUGUUUCGAAUCUGUCAUGCUUCCACCCUUACAGAACUAGAUUCUUGAUGAGAAGAAGCAGAUCUGGUCAUUGAUUUUAUGGGAGCUGUUCAGCACUUAAGACUAUUGCACUUGAUCAGAAGACCAGGAAGAAGAGUUCACCUGUGAUUCUGUUAUUCAUAUCCACAUUUGGGUUACUUUAGCCCUCAGGGUAUGAAACCCACUUUAAUAAUUCCUGUUGCGUACUCCUGGAUGGGAAACAUGCAUCUUUCCCUCAUCUUCAUAAAACCACUUUCCUUCAGACCUUGCGUACUUCUUCUCAGUGGUUGUCUCUCUCCUGUGUAGCACAUUUGUGUUUUUGCAGCCAGUUUGCUCAUUCUGGAUAAAGCCAUAUUUUGUGGUGUUUAGAUGAAACCAAAACUAUAUGUACAGUUACAGAUCUGUAAUAAACCAAGUUCUUUAAGGAACUGGUUCAAAUAAAAUAUGCUGUGUUUUUGUGUAUCGGGUCAUCUCUUUUUCCUGUCUGUCAAUGAUAAUAACACCAUCUGUGCUCUAUGCAUGUCUAGUUUUUCCAGAAAGACUGAGCUUUUCCAGAAGGAUUCCAGAGGGAUGCGUUGUGCCCUUGCCAGAAGUAGAACUUUAACAUUGUAAACGGAAGGGCCUGGAUGUAGGUCUGGAAGGUGCAGCUUGUACAGAAUAUUGUGGUGUGUUUAUCUGCUAAGAAGUACUGGUUACCAGAAGUGCACCACCCCAAUAUGACAUCACUGAACCUGCUGCCUUGUAUAGCUUUAUAGACAACAAUUCUAGGAGUGGAGAAAGACUGCCACUCAGUGGAACGUAAGAAGCUAUCUUAUAUAGAGUC